rnacentral:rRNA from 1 species
AGCGAACGCUGGCGGCAGGCCCAACACAUGCAAGUCGAGCGCCCAGCAAUGGGAGCGGCAGACGGGUGAGUAACGCGUGGGGAUCUACCCAUUGGUACGGAAUAACCCAGGGAAACUUGGAUUAGUACCGUAUAAGCCCUUCGGGGGAAAGAUUUAUCGCCAAUGGAUGAACCCGCGUCGGAUUAGCUAGUUGGUGAGGUAAAGGCUCACCAAGGCGACGAUCCGUAGCUGGUCUGAGAGGAUGAUCAGCCACACUGGGACUGAGACACGGCCCAGACUCCUACGGGAGGCAGCAGUGGGGAAUAUUGGACAAUGGGCGCAAGCCUGAUCCAGCCAUGCCGCGUGAGUGAUGAAGGCCUUAGGGUUGUAAAGCUCUUUCGCCGGUGAAGAUAAUGACGGUAACCGGAGAAGAAGCCCCGGCUAACUUCGUGCCAGCCGCCGCCGUAAUAC